UGGGGAAUAUUGGGCAAUGGAGGAAACUCUGACCCAGCAAUGCCGCGUGAAGGAAGAAGGUCUUCGGAUUGUAAACUUUUGUCGUGAGGGAAGAAGAAUGACGGUACCUCAUGAGAAAGCCCCGGCAAACUACGUGCCAGCAGCCGCGGUAAUACGUAGGGGGCAAGCGUUGUCCGGAAUUACUGGGCGUAAAGCGAGUGUAGGUGGCUUUGUAAGUUAUAUGUGAAAGCCCACAGCUUAACUGUGGAACUGCAUAUAAGACUGCAGAGCUGGAGUGCAGGAGAGGCAAAUGGAAUUCCUAGUGUAGCGGUGGAAUGCGUAGAUAUUAGGAGGAACACCAGUGGCGAAGGCGAUUUGCUGGACUGUAACUGACGCUGAGGCUCGAAAGCGUGGGGAUCAAACA
rnacentral:rRNA from 1 species